rnacentral:tRNA from 1 species
GCGGAAGUGGUGGAAUUGGCAGACACGCUGGUUUUAGGUACCAGUGCUCCGGCGUGCGGGUUCGAGUCCCGCCUUCCGCA